UGGGGAAUUUUGGACAAUGGGGGAAACCCUGAUCCAGCCAUCCCGCGUGUGCGAUGAAGGCCUUCGGGUUGUAAAGCACUUUUGGCAGGAAAGAAACGUCAUGGGUUAAUACCCCGUGAAACUGACGGUACCUGCAGAAUAAGCACCGGCUAACUACGUGCCAGCAGCCGCGGUAAUACGUAGGGUGCAAGCGUUAAUCGGAAUUACUGGGCGUAAAGCGUGCGGAGGCGGUUCGGAAAGAAAGAUGUGAAAUCCCAGAGCUCAACUUUGGAACUGCAUUUUUUACUUCCGGGCUAGAGUGUGUCAGAGGGAGGUGGAAUUCCGCGUGUAGCAGUGAAAUGCGUAGAUAUGCGGAGGAACACCGAUGGCGAAGGCAGCCUCCUGGGAUAACACUGACGCUCAUGCACGAAAGCGUGGGGAGCAAACAGG
rnacentral:rRNA from 1 species